rnacentral:rRNA from 1 species
UGAACGCUGGCGGCGUGCUUAACACAUGCAAGUCGACCGAAGCACUUUAUUUGAUUUCCUUCGGGACUGAUUAUUUUGUGACUGAGUGGCGGACGGGUGAGUAACGCGUGGGUAACCUGCCUUGUACAGGGGGAUAACAGUUGGAAACGGCUGCUAAUACCGCAUAAGCGCACAGCAUCGCAUGAUGCAGUGUGAAAAACUCCGGUGGCAUAAGAUGGACCCGCGUUGGAUUAGCUAGUUGGUGAGGUAACGGCCCACCAAGGCGACGAUCCAUAGCCGACCUGAGAGGGGGACCGGCCACAUUGGGACUGAGACACGGCCCAAACUCCUACGGGAGGCAGCAGUGGGGAAUAUUGCACAAUGGGCGAAAGCCUGAUGCAGCGACGCCGCGUGAGCGAAGAAGUAUUUCGGUAUGUAAAGCUCUAUCAGCAGGGAAGAUAAUGACGGUACCUGACUAAGAAGCACCGGCUAAAUACGUG